UUUUUUUUUGUUUCGUUUUUUUUUCUUUCAACUGUGACAUUGGCAAAAUCAUCAGUUCUCAUAUUGAUGGAGCCAUAAAAAUAAAAAGUGAAGUGAACUGAGCACCGAGCUGUCAUGUCAUGUCAAAUGACUGCAUCAAACGAGGCGUUAUCAAUUUACCGAGUUACAAUUUUAGGAAUUAACAAAUAAACUUGUAUAAAAACUUAUUAUUGGUGGAUUAGAAAUUGCAACCAUGAGUACUCUCGACAAGCAGUUAGCUGAUUUGCGUAUCUACGCUAACGAGUUAGACUCGAAAUUGCAAGAUGAUAUAAAUGCAGCCAAGAUGAAACCCUCGAUUCCGCCUAAGAAAAACAAAGCUCCAUUACCGCAAGUGCCUCAGAGCUGCAUGGUGAAAUCAGUUUGUGAACCUUCCUACUCAUCUAGGCUGGAAUCUGGCAGCAGGGCAAGCUCUACAUACUCCAAUUUAGUGCCAGUAAAAAGUUGUAUUGUGAGGAACACAGCACGGGCUCGAAGCGGUGAUGUGCUGUUGUACAGUAAUUUACUGCCUCCAGGAGGUACAAACCACGUUUAUUCCAAUAUUCCGAUCCAAAGACAAGUGGCGGAAGGUAUUUAUGAGCGGGACGCGCGGUCCGAAGUAUCACGGAUUAGUGAUUUAGGAGCGCAAUCCAACUACAGCGAGUUAAGGCGACCGGGUUCAGCGUAUCCGCCGUCUUCUGCCUCUGUUAACGCUCAAGACUUCUCCACAUAUGGUGGUUCUCAGACGUCCUCCACUUACGAAUCGUUGUACGAACCUAUAAACCCCCGUCCUUGCAGCCAGCUUUCCGGUACGUCCCUUUAUGGCGGGUACGUAGGCCCAGUACCGGAGCCCACUCCAGAACCAGAUGAUCAGCUGUAUUGUGGUAAUUGCUAUCGUUGUGGAGAGAAAAUCAUGGGAGAAACCACUGGGUGCACGGCUAUGGAGAGGAUCUAUCACAUCAAGUGCUUCUGUUGUCAACAAUGUGGAAUCAACCUACAGGGUCGACCAUUCUACGCAGUGCAGGGGAGAGCAUUGUGUGAACGAGACUACCUUGACACACUAGAAAAAUGCUGUGUGUGUGGUGACCCCAUUUUGGACCGUAUACUACGAGCAACUGGCAAACCAUAUCACCCUAAGUGCUUCACCUGUGUAGUGUGUCAGAAGAGCCUUGAUGGAAUACCAUUUACAGUGGACGCAGUGAAUCGUAUUCAUUGUAUUGAAGAUUUUCAUAAAAGGUACGCGCCACGUUGUGCCCGUUGUCGCGAGCCAAUUGUACCCGAAGGCGGUGCAGAGGAAACAGUACGUAUAGUAGCAUUGGAUAAGAGCUUCCACAUAGCGUGUUAUGCGUGUGAGGAUUGCGGCGCGUCACUCUGUUCCCGCGAAGAGGGCCGCGGCUGUUACCCGCUGGACGAGCACCUUUAUUGCCGCGAAUGCAAUGCACGACGGAUUCAGGAAAUUUCUAGGAAUAUCAACUAAAUAAGAAGGAAUAAGUAGUUUGGUCAGUGAGGCCUACCUCUAGAAGUGACUUUAGUCUGUAAUGUCACUGUCCAACAUAGGUUUUCGCGAUUGUUACACAUUGAGAACUUCAUAGUAAAAGUUUUUCGUAUUAAAUGCUAUCAAAAUUUAAGUUAACACAUACAUGUACUACACCUUCAAAACAGCCCUCUGAACGUGAAAUGCAAAACGUAAGUUUUUGUAAACAAUGAUAUUAAUUAAUUGAAUGAUCAGAAUAGGGGUGUAUAAAAAGGUCAAGUCACUGUGAGAUCACAUAGAGUGGAUAAGAGUUCUCUCUGAAGUCCCCAAAUUAAACAUAAAACGCAAAACAAAUUAAUUAUAUGUAUGUUUACAUACUCUUACAAAACUUUUCAUCUAAAUACACUAGUGAACUUAUUGCUUUUUACACAUCGAAAUCUAGAAUAGAAUAGAAGUCUGUAGAAGUAUCAAAGGGAGUAUUAUCUUCUUUACGUGUAUUUUCUCCCUUCAAUUUUGGAUAAAUAUAGGGUGCCUAUUCUUAUCUCUGCUAAUAUUACUAAUAGUUAAAAAUAACGGUAGCUAUAAAGAAACAUUCCUAAAGCAUUUAUCGUAAUAAUAUUAAAGGCUGUGUAGCUCUGACGUAAGAUAACGUUCAUGUAAUUUUAGAAUUUUGUUUUGCAGUAUUCGUAAAAUGUGAUUUUAUAAGUUCUCUAUUAAUAGAAAAUAAGC